rnacentral:lncRNA from 1 species
ACAAGUCACAUGAAACAAAAUUGCCAUUCAUCUAAAACAACCAAAAUUCUUACAUGCAAAUGCCAUCAAAAGGACUUUUCCAAGGCUUGUAAUGAGGCUGGGCUAACAAGAAAAUUUGUUUUUUUGGAAUGCAAAGUCCUUGAGUUAAGAGAGCUAUCAUAAUAUUCAACAUUCAAGAAGAACUCUCUUCCUCACCAAUAUCACUUAUUCCCAACUUUUCCCCUUUUCUUUUGCACUGAGCUCAUCUACAUGCUUUUUCUUCUUUUCUUUUCUUUUUCUCAUGUAUUUUUCUUUAACAACUUUUGAGCUCAAUGCUUUUUCAAUUGCCUUUCAAUUUCCCCCAUGCAACCCCAAACUUGAACCUUUUCAUCACAUACAAUUAAACUCAUCCCAAGUCAAGGUAAAUAAUUUUAAGACAAGGGUUCACAUCCUGUUUAAACCUAAGGUUCAAAA